rnacentral:lncRNA from 1 species
AUGCUUUCACUUGCAGCCAUCCGGUGCUCUGCCUGAAAACCAGGACACUAGUUUCUGCAAAUAUGUUAAAUAAGCAGUGAUCUUACCCAGACAUUAAAAUAACCAAAGCAGAUUGAGCAUUUAACCCGUUGGUGAUGAAUUCAGUCUGUAAACGUUCAACCUGGUGGUGUUGUCUUUAAUGGUGCAACUAGUGAAGAAUGCAGGUGGGAAGAA